UACGAAGGGGGCUAGCGUUGCUCGGAAUCACUGGGCGUAAAGGGUGCGUAGGUGGCGCGUUAAGUCCGUUGUGAAAGCCCUGGGCUCAACCCAGGAACUGCUUCGGAUACUGGCGCGCUUGAGGCUAGUAGGGGUCACUGGAACUGACGGUGGAGCGGUGAAAUGCGUAGAUAUCGUCAGGAACGCCAAUGGUGAAGACAGGUGACUGGGCUAGUUCUGACACUGAGGCACGAAAGCGUGGGGAGCGAACAGG
rnacentral:rRNA from 1 species